rnacentral:rRNA from 1 species
AGUGAACGCUGGCGGUAGGCCUAACACAUGCGAGUCGAACGGCAGCACAGUAAGAGCUUGCUCUUACGGGUGGCGAGUGGCGGACGGGUGAGGAAUACAUCGGAAUCUACUUUUUCGUGGGGGAUAACGUAGGGAAACUUACGCUAAUACCGCAUACGACCUACGGGUGAAAGCAGGGGAUCUUCGGACCUUGCGCGAUUGAAUGAGCCGAUGUCGGAUUAGCUAGUUGGCGGGGUAAAGGCCCACCAAGGCGACGAUCCGUAGCUGGUCUGAGAGGAUGAUCAGCCACACUGGAACUGAGACACGGUCCAGACUCCUACGGGAGGCAGCAGUGGGGAAUAUUGGACAAUGGGCGCAAGCCAGAUCCAGCCAUACCGCGUGGGUGAAGAAGGCCUUCGGGUUGUAAAGCCCUUUUGUUGGGAAAGAAAAGCAGCAGGUUAAUACCCCGCUGUUCUGACGGUACCCAAAGAAUAAGCACCGGCUAACUUCGUG